rnacentral:rRNA from 1 species
UACGGGGGGGGCAAGCGUUGUUCGGAAUUACUGGGCGUAAAGGGCUCGUAGGCGGCCAACUAAGUCAUACGUGAAAUCCCUCGGCUUAACCGGGGAACUGCAUCUGAUACUGGAUGGCUUGAGUUCGGGAGAGGGAUGCGGAAUUCCAGGUGUAGCGGUGAAAUGCGUAGAUAUCUGGAGGAACACCGGUGGCGAAGGCGGCAUCCUGGACCGACACUGACGCUGAGGAGCGAAAGCCAGGGGAGCAAACGGG